rnacentral:rRNA from 1 species
AAUGAACGUUGGCGGCGUGGAUUAGGCAUGCGAGUCGAGCGAGAACCGUAGCAAUACGGGGACAGCGGCGAAAGGGACAGUAACGGGUAGAUUAUCUGCCCUCAGGUUUGGGAUAGCUGCGGGACACUGCAAGUAAUACCAAAUAAUAUCUCCGGAUCAAAGGUGUGAUUCCGCCUGAGGAUGAGUCUGCCUCCUAUUGUCUUGUUGUUGGGGUAACGGCAUACCAAGGCAUUGAUGGGUAGCGGGUGUGAGAGCACGACCCGCGCCAUUGGGACUGAGACACCGCCCAGACACCUACGGGUGGCUGCAGUCGAGAAUCUUCGGCAAUGGACGCAAGUCUGACCGAGCGACGCCGCGUGUGGGAUGAAGGCCUUCGGGUUGUAAACCACUGUCAGAGGGGAUGAAAUGCAGGUGGGUACUCCCAUUUGUUUGACAUAGCCUCAGAGGAAGUACGGGCUAAGUUCGUGCCAGCCGCCGCGGUAA